rnacentral:rRNA from 2 species
CUAAUACAUGCAAGUCGAGCGAACUGAUUAGAAGCUUGCUUCUAUGACGUUAGCGGCGGACGGGUGAGUAACACGUGGGCAACCUGCCUGUAAGACUGGGAUAACUUCGGGAAACCGAAGCUAAUACCGGAUAGGAUCUUCUCCUUCAUGGGAGAUGAUUGAAAGAUGGUUUCGGCUAUCACUUACAGAUGGGCCCGCGGUGCAUUAGCUAGUUGGUGAGGUAACGGCUCACCAAGGCAACGAUGCAUAGCCGACCUGAGAGGGUGAUCGGCCACACUGGGACUGAGACACGGCCCAGACUCCUACGGGAGGCAGCAGUAGGGAAUCUUCCGCAAUGGACGAAAGUCUGACGGAGCAACGCCGCGUGAGUGAUGAAGGCUUUCGGGUCGUAAAACUCUGUUGUUAGGGAAGAACAAGUACGAGAGUAACUGCUCGUACCUUGACGGUACCUAACCAGAAAGCCACGGCUAACUACGUGCCAGCAGCCGCGGUAAUACGUAGGUGGCAAGCGUUAUCCGGAAUUAUUGGGCGUAAAGCGCGCGCAGGCGGUUUCUUAAGUCUGAUGUGAAAGCCCACGGCUCAACCGUGGAGGGUCAUUGGAAACUGGGGAACUUGAGUGCAGAAGAGAAAAGCGGAAUUCCACGUGUAGCGGUGAAAUGCGUAGAGAUGUGGAGGAACACCAGUGGCGAAGGCGGCUUUUUGGUCUGUAACUGACGCUGAGGCGCGAAAGCGUGGGGAGCAAACAGGAUUAGA